rnacentral:rRNA from 1 species
UGGCGGCGUGCCUAACACAUGCAAGUCGAACGAGAAAGUGGAGCAAUCCAUGAGUACAGUGGCGUACGGGUGAGUAACACGUGACUAACCUACCCUCGAGUGGGGAAUAACCUCGGGAAACCGGGGCUAACACCGCAUAACAUCUGAUCAAAUGCGCAAGCAGCUUGAGGAGGGGGUCGCGGCCGAUUAGCUAGUUGGCGGGGUAAUGGCCCACCAAGGCAAUGAUCGGUAGCCGGCCUGAGAGGGCGCACGGCCACACUGGAACUGAAACACGGUCCAGACUCCUACGGGAGGCAGCAGUGGGGAAUUUUGCGCAAUGGGGGAAACCCUGACGCAGCAACGCCGCGUAGAGGAUGAAGCCCUUUGGGGCGUAAACUCCUUUCGAUCGGGACGAUUAUGACGGUACCGGAUGAAGAAGCACCGGCUAACUCUGUGCCAGCAGCCGCGGUAAUACAGAGGGUGCAAGCGUUGUUCGGAAUUAUUGGGCGUAAAGGGCGCGUAGGCGGUGCGGUAAGUCUGCGGUGAAAUCUCCGGGCUCAACUCGGAGUCUGCCGCGGAAACUGCCGUGCUGGAGUGUGGGAGAAGUGAGUGGAAUUCCCGGUGUAGCGGUGAAAUGCGUAGAUAUCGGGAGGAACGCCUGUGGCGAAAGCGGCUCACUGGACCACAACUGACGCUGAGGCGCGAAAGCUAGGGGAGCGAACAGGAUUAAGUACCCUGGUAGUCCCAGCCCUAAACUAUGAUCGCUUGGUGUGACAGGUACCCAAUCCUGUCGUGCCGGAGCUAACGCGUU